AACGUAGGUGGCGAGCGUUAUCCGGAUUUACUGGGCGUAAAGGGUGUGCAGGCGGGGUAUCAAGUGGUGUAUGAAAGGGCGCGGCUCAACCGCGCUAGGUUAUGCCAGACUGAUGCUCUUGAGGACCAAACAGGGCUGUGGAAUUCCUGGUGUAGCGGUGGAAUGCGCAGAUAUCAGGAGGAACACCAAUAGCGAAGGCAGCUCGCUGGGACGGUACUGACGCUGAGGCGCGAAAGCGUGGGAGCGAACAGG
rnacentral:rRNA from 1 species